ACUCCUACGGGAGGCAGCAGUAGGAAUAUUGGUCAAUGGGUGAGAGCCUGAACCAGCCAUGCCGCGUGCAGGAAGACGGCCUUCUGGGUUGUAAACUGCUUUUACCAGGGAUAAACGACUCUGCGGAGUUAAUUGAAGGUACCUGGAGAAUAAGCACCGGCUAACUACGUGCCAGCAGCCGCGGUAAUACGUAGGGUGCAAGCGUUGUCCGGAUUUAUUGGGUUUAAAGGUGCGUAGGCGGGCUAUUAAGUCAGUGGUGAAAUCCAGCAGCUUAACUGUUGAUGUGCCAUUGAUACUGGUAGUCUUGAGUACAGAUGAGGUAGGCGGAAUUGACAGUGUAGCGGUGAAAUGCAUAGAUAUUGUCAAGAACUCCGAUAGCGAAGGCAGCUUACUGGGCUGUAACUGACGCUGAUGCACGAAAGUGUGGGGAUCAAACAGGAUUAGAUACCCUGGUAGGCUCUG
rnacentral:rRNA from 1 species